rnacentral:misc_RNA from 1 species
UAGUGGUUUAAGCACAGGACUUUCCAAUCUGAUAUGAUGUAAAUCACGUAACUAUUCUGAAAGAGUUUAAUCUGUCAAAAUCAAACCACCGCUACCAAAUUGCAAAACCAUGAAGCACAAAGAAAUUUAAUGACAUGAAGUUCAAGACAAAUAAUACAAAGGUGCAUCCUUCGAAAGUAAAUUAAAGCCCCAUAGCCAAACUAAUAACAGGCUCCAUAAAUGGUUAGGAAAUAUGAAAAUGGUAUUUAGUCUUACCUCUCCAAACUUUCAAAAAUAGCACAACACAACAGAAAACAUAUA